rnacentral:rRNA from 1 species
AUUGAACGCUUGCGGCAGGCCUAACACAUGCAAGUCGAGCGGUAGCACAGAGAGCUUGCUCUCGGGUGACGAGCGGCGGACGGGUGAGUAAUGUCUGGGAAACUGCCUGAUGGAGGGGGAUAACUACUGGAAACGGUAGCUAAUACCGCAUAACGUCGCAAGACCAAAGUGGGGGACCUUCGGGCCUCAUGCCAUCAGAUGUGCCCAGAUGGGAUUAGCUAGUAGGUGGGGUAACGGCUCACCUAGGCGACGAUCCCUAGCUGGUCUGAGAGGAUGACCAGCCACACUGGAACUGAGACACGGUCCAGACUCCUACGGGAGGCAGCAGUGGGGAAUAUUGCACAAUGGGCGCAAGCCUGAUGCAGCCAUGCCGCGUGUGUGAAGAAGGCCUUCGGGUUGUAAAGCACUUUCAGCGGGGAGGAAGGCGUUAAGGUUAAUAACCUUGGCGAUUGACGUUACCCGCAGAAGAAGCACCGGCUAACUCCGUGCCAGCAGCCGCGGUAAUACGGAGGGUGCAAGCGUUAAUCGGAAUUACUGGGCGUAAAGCGCACGCAGGCGGUCUGUCAAGUCGGAUGUGAAAUCCCCGGGCUCAACCUGGGAACUGCAUUCGAAACUGGCAGGCUAGAGUCUUGUAGAGGGGGGUAGAAUUCCAGGUGUAGCGGUGAAAUGCGUAGAGAUCUGGAGGAAUACCGGUGGCGAAGGCGGCCCCCUGGACAAAGACUGACGCUCAGGUGCGAAAGCGUGGGGAGCAAACAGGAUUAGAUACCCUGGUAGUCCACGCCGUAAACGAUGUCGAUUUGGAGGUUGUGCCCUUGAGGCGUGGCUUCCGGAGCUAACGCGUUAAAUCGACCGCCUGGGGAGUACGGCCGCAAGGUUAAAACUCAAAUGAAUUGACGGGGGCCCGCACAAGCGGUGGAGCAUGUGGUUUAAUUCGAUGCAACGCGAAGAACCUUACCUGGUCUUGACAUCCACAGAACUUAGCAGAGAUGCUUUGGUGCCUUCGGGAACUGUGAGACAGGUGCUGCAUGGCUGUCGUCAGCUCGUGUUGUGAAAUGUUGGGUUAAGUCCCGCAACGAGCGCAACCCUUAUCCUUUGUUGCCAGCGGUCCGGCCGGGAACUCAAAGGAGACUGCCAGUGAUAAACUGGAGGAAGGUGGGGAUGACGUCAAGUCAUCAUGGCCCUUACGACCAGGGCUACACACGUGCUACAAUGGCAUAUACAAAGAGAAGCGACCUCGCGAGAGCAAGCGGACCUCAUAAAGUAUGUCGUAGUCCGGAUUGGAGUCUGCAACUCGACUCCAUGAAGUCGGAAUCGCUAGUAAUCGUAGAUCAGAAUGCUACGGUGAAUACGUUCCCGGGCCU